GACGAACGCUGGCGGCGUGCUUAACACAUGCAAGUCGAACGAAGAGCGACGGAAGCUUGCUUCUAUCAAUCUUAGUGGCGCACGGGUGAGUAACGCGUAAUCAACCUGCCCUUCAGAGGGGGACAACAGUUGGAAACGACUCCUAAUACCGCAUACGAUCUAACCUCGGCAUCGAGGAUAGAUGAAAGGUGGCCUCUACAUGUAAGCUAUCACUGAAGGAGGGGAUUGCGUCUGAUUAGCUAGUUGGAGGGGUAACGGCCCACCAAGGCGAUGAUCAGUAGCCGGUCUGAGAGGAUGAGCGGCCACAUUGGGACUGAGACACGGCCCAGACUCCUACGGGAGGCAGCAGUGGGGAAUCUUCCGCAAUGGACGAGAGUCUGACGGAGCAACGCCGCGUGAGUGAUGACGGCCUUCGGGUUGUGAAGCUCUGUUAAUCGGGACGAAAGGCCUUCUUGCGAAUAGUGAGAAGGAUUGACGGUACCGGAAGAGAAAGCCACGGCUAACUACGUG
rnacentral:rRNA from 1 species